AGAGUUUGAUCAUGGCUCAGAUUGAACGCUGGCGGCAGGCCUAACACAUGCAAGUCGAACGGUAGCACAGAGGAGCUUGCUCCUUGGGUGACGAGCGGCGGACGGGUGAGUAAUGUAUGGGGAUCUGCCCGAUAGAGGGGGAUAACUACUGGAAACGGUAGCUAAUACCGCAUAACGUCGCAAGACCAAAGUGGGGGACCUUCGGGCCUCACACCAUCGGAUGUGCCCAGAUGGGAUUAGCUAGUAGGUGGGGUAACGGCUCACCUAGGCGACGAUCCCUAGCUGGGCUGAGAGGAUGACCAGCCACACUGGAACUGAGACACGGUCCAGACUCCUACGGGAGGCAGCAGUGGGGAAUAUUGCACAAUGGGCGCAAGCCUGAUGCAGCCAUGCCGCGUGUAUGAAGAAGGCCUUCGGGUUGUAAAGUACUUUCAGCGGGGAGGAAGGCGUUGUGGUUAAUAACCGCAGCGAUUGACGUUACUCGCAGAAGAAGCACCGGCUAACUCCGUGCCAGCCGCCGCGGUAAUAC
rnacentral:rRNA from 1 species